UACAGGGGGUGCAAGCGUUGUUCGGAAUUACUGGGCGUAAAGGGCGCGUAGGCGGUUUAGUAAGUCAGAUGUGAAAGCCCGGGGCUCAACCUCGGAAUUGCAUUUGAAACUGCUAGGCUAGAGUGCAGUAGAGGAUGGCGGAAUACCUAGUGGAGAGGUGAAAUUCGUAGAUAUUAGGUGGAACACCGGUGGCGAAGGCGGCCUGCUGGGCUAUGGCUGACACUGAGGCGCGACAGCGUGGGGAGCAAACAGG
rnacentral:rRNA from 1 species